rnacentral:snRNA from 1 species
GGAUGUGAGGGUGAUCUGGCUGUGACAUCUGUCACCCCAUUGAUCGCCAGGGUUGAUUCGGCUGAUCUGGCUGGCUAGGCGGUGUCCCCUUCCUCCCUCACUGCUCCAUGUGCUUCCCUCCCAAAGCUGCACGCUUUAUUGAAGAGGACGACCUUCCCCGCUAGAUGAUGACCGGCCUUCAGUCAAGGGUAUAUGAGUAGCUGCGCUCCUCUGAUAGAACCUCCAAACAAGCUCUCAAGGUUUUAUUUUAAGUAUUAUUUGAGGCUUGCACCAUGGCUCACUUGGCUAAUCCUCCACCUGCAGCGACAGCACCCCAGGUUCUAUUCCAGGUUGGA